rnacentral:rRNA from 1 species
AGAGUUUGAUCAUGGCUCAGGACGAACGCUGGCGGCGUGCUUAACACAUGCAAGUCGAACGGUGAACCAGAGCUUGCUCUGGGGAUCAGUGGCGAACGGGUGAGUAACACGUGGGCAACCUGCCCCAGACUCUGGGAUAACUCCGGGAAACCGGAGCUAAUACCGGAUAUGACUACUUCGGACAUCCGACGGUAGUGGAAAGUUUUUCGGUCUGGGAUGGGCCCGCGGCCUAUCAGCUAGUUGGUGGGGUAAUGGCCUACCAAGGCGACGACGGGUAGCCGGCCUGAGAGGGCGACCGGCCACACUGGAACUGAGACACGGUCCAGACUCCUACGGGAGGCAGCAGUGGGGAAUAUUGCACAAUGGGCGAAAGCCUGAUGCAGCGACGCCGCGUGAGGGACGACGGCCUUCGGGUUGUAAACCUCUUUCAGCAGGGACGAAGCGAAAGUGACUGUACCUGCAGAAGAAGCACCGGCUAACUACGUGCCAGCCGCCGCGGUAA